rnacentral:lncRNA from 1 species
CUGUCUGGGGUGGGUGCUGCUGCCUGCCAUCCAGGGAGGGGCUGGGCCCCUUGGCCUCCUGCCUUGGGUCAGCAGCCACCAGCGGGUCUGGUUGGCUCUGGAUUCUCUGACCUUUUUUAACCAAUUCUGGUCACUUGUGACUCUUCCCUUUUCCCAAACCUUCCUCUAUUCUCCUCUGUGAGGGGAGCCACCUGAGGCCGUGGAACCCAACAGGCAUGAGAUGGACCACAGUGCCCAUUAAGCUGGGCAGAUGAGAUGUCUGGCUUUCUCCCCAGGACCUGGAGGCAGGCCAACACUGAAAGUGGUCUCUUCUGCUGCCAGCAACCUGAAACACAGUCCCAGCAGCACUCCUUCCACUCCCCCACCCCUAGACCUCAGCCAUGCCUGUUCUCCCCCUUCCAACAUGGUCUCACUCAGGGCCUUCUCGAAUAUGCACCCUGGUUUCCAGCUCUCCUUUACCACCCACCACCCUGGGCUCACUUUUGGAUAGGAAAUAAACUCUUUUAUUUUUGUAGUUACUGGCUCUGGCUGUUUCUGGGGGCUGGUGUGAUAGCCCCAGGGCUUUGGAGAAGCAUAUGUGAUAGUCACUCCCACACAGUACCCCAGGGCCCUGUUACUGUCUCUAGGAGGGCAAAGGUGCCAACCAAUCCACUUGGCACCACAUUCACGCCACCAGGAGCCCCUGGGAUGAGGCAGAAACCUUAAUGAGUCACUAUGGGCCCGUUAUACCCACCCUCCCCCCAACCUGGUCAGAGCCACAGAUUCAGACACAGUGUGUGGGAGGGACAGAGCCCUGACUCAGGUCCACCUCCAGCCCUGGAAAGGUGGCCCACGGUACUCGCCACCAAUCCUGCAGUAACUGACCCUGUCCUUCUUGCAGGCAAGGUACAGCAGGGUCUGGAGGAAACCACUUGUCACCAAUCAAGAACCUGCUAGGAAUCUCACUCUGCCCCAUCCCCUCUGCUCUCCUAAGCUUGCUCCUCCUUCUGAGUUUUCGCUACUUUGAUGAUCACUGCAGGGGUGGAUGUUACGGAUGCUGUUAGAAAGAGGCACCCUGGUGACCAGUUGGAACUAGAUGUGGGCAGUUUUGUGGCAGGUUGUCCCAGAGAGGUUGCCAGGUCGAUUCUCCAGCUCAGGCUCCAAAGUGUGAUUGGUGUUGGCUGGCAGCAU